UGUGUCGCUGCUAAAAGUUAGAUAAUUAGCGGCGACAUAUCGUCGCCGCGAAAAGUUAGAUAAUUAGCGGCGACAUACCGUCGCCGCUAAAGUUAGAUAAUUAGCGGCGACAUUCCGUCGCCGCUAAAGUUAGAUAAUUAGCGGCGACAUUUCGUCGCCGUGAAAAGUUAGAUAAUUAACCAGUAAACCUAGAUCGGAAUAUUUGGUGGCGACAAUUUGUCGCC
rnacentral:lncRNA from 1 species